rnacentral:rRNA from 1 species
UACGUAGGGACCGAGCGUUGUCCGGAAUCAUUGGGCGUAAAGAGCGUGUAGGCGGCCACUUAAGUCCUGCGUGAAAUCUUGCGGCUCAACCGCAAGCGGUCGUGGGAAACUGGGUGGCUAGAGUGCGGGAGAGGAGAGUGGAAUUCCUGGUGUAGCGGUGGAAUGCGCAGAUAUCAGGAAGAACACCCGUGGCGAAGCGGCUCUCUGGAACGCAACUGACGCUGAGACGCGAAAAGCGUGGGGAGCAAACAGG